UAGGUGUUGCUCUUCUGUUAUAGGUAUGAGCGUAAAGGAGCUGACUACAUAAACAAAUUGCCAAAAGACAAACAUAGCACCAAAGGAUUGGGCAUGACUGAACCAGAUCCAAAAGCCAGUGUGUUACGAGAUGAUGGGGUGGAAGUCCCAGCUGGUAAAGGAAUUUCAGUCCGUCGUAAUGAUGUGUCACUGUUGUACAAUGAGUACAUCGUAUAUGAUGUGUCACAGGUGAAUAUCCAGUACUUACUCAAAAUGAAGUUCAAUUAUAAAUACUAAUUUCAGGAUCUGCCUUGCUUGUUUUUCUAAGAACAGUUAAAAGUGUAAAUUUUCACUGUAUGUGAAUGAUAGCGUUACACUCUCUUUUUCAUGUUGCUCACCAUUUGUGCAUUUGUUAAGCUAAGAAAGUAAAUUUCUGCUUUAUGAAGAUGUCUUUCAGUUUUGCUGUACUGCUUAAUGAUACAAGAAAUGACAGCAGAAAAUAAUGAAUGCAGUUUCCAGAACAACCCUUCACUAUGAUGGAUCUGAAUAAUUUUAAUAAUAUCACAGUAAAUGGUGGUAUUCAACAGCAAAUAAAAGUUUCUCAUAUAUUAUUAUCCUGUUGUGAAAUGUCAUGGGUUUUAUAGUAAAGGUUCUUCCAGAUCCUGUUUAUACAUUACCAGAUAGUUAGUUUCCUCACAUGGCCAAGAUACUCCAAUUUUACUUGUGUUGUAAGUCUGUGUGAAGUCAUCUUUGUUAUUUUCACAUCUAUUAAGAAAAAUUACAUCAACUGUUAUCAAACUACGCAUUACCAUGUGCAAGAUAUGAGACUUCUAGUGGAAUAUGUGCAUUCCUUUAAAUCCUUAUGUCAGAUGUCAUUUAAUUUAUUUUAUAUUUGAACAGUGAAGUAUGUAAAAGCCUUCAAUAAAAAAAGUUUUCAUGUUGUUGAAAUUAA